UGGGGAAUUUUGGACAAUGGGGCAACCCUGAUCCAGCGAUGCCGCGUGUGUGAAGAAGGCCUGAGGGUUGUAAAGCACUUUAGGAGGGGAAGGAUAGGUUGGCUCGAAUAGGGCUGACUGAUGACAUUACCCUUGGAAUAAGCACCGGCAAACUCUGUGCCAGCAGCCGCGGUAAGACAGAGGAUGCAAGCGUUAUCCGGAAUGAUUGGGCGUAAAGCGUCUGUAGGUGGCUUUUCAAGUCCGCCGUCAAAUCCCAGGGCUCAACCCUGGACAGGCGGUGGAAACUACCAAGCUGGAGUACGGCAGGGGCAGAGGGAAUUUCCGGUGGAGCGGUGAAAUGCGUAGAGAUCGGAAAGAACACCAACGGCGAAAGCACUCUGCUGGGCCGACACUGACACUGAGAGACGAAAGCUAGGGGAGCAAAUGGGAUUAGAUACCCAGGUAGUCCCUGAGCGGGCUGGCAAGGC
rnacentral:rRNA from 1 species